CAGGGAGUUAAUACCCUCUCAAAUUAGUUCUUCUUUCGAAUAUAGCAACUGUUUCAAGGCACACUUUGUACCCCAGCAGAUCUUGAAUUUUAUCAUUAGCGAUUGAGAAUGUCACCAACUUUCUCACUCAAAAUGCUGUUCUUCUCGUACUUCAAGGAUUUGGUGGGUCGAGAAGUGACCGUGGCGUUGAAGAACGAUUUAGCAUUAAGAGGUACAUUACACUCUGUGGAUCAGUACCUCAACAUUAAGCUCUAAAACACUCGGGUUUUUUUUAUCAAGAUAAGUACCCCCACAUGGUAUUCCCUCUUUCUUCCUCACUUUAGGGUUUUGGAUUUUUUAUAAAGGAAAUUUAAUAAUAAGUUCCAACUUCCAAAGCAUGGAUGGAAACUGAAAACUUAAAAUGUUCUUAUGAUAAGCUUUCUUUUUUUAGUCAAUUUUUAUACAUGUCUAUUUUGUUGAAUGACUGCAUUAUCUGUGCUCUAAAUGCCAUUUAGGUAAAGAUUUCUCUUGAUUAGAAGUUGAGAGUUUUAUUUAUAUAAUAUGUUUCAUUUUUAAGAUGUAUGGUCCUUGGAUUUGCUAUUGUUUGGAAUUUGUUGUGCCUACUUGAUGAAAUAUGAAGGGUUAUGUAAAUCUAAUAUGGCAAUUUGGGUUUCAAAUUUUAUAGGAAUAUACCUGUUUAAGAAAUUCUAUGUAAUAGAAAGGUGUUGUGAGGAAUUUGAAUAUUUAUGUAUGAUUUCCAUUCUGUUUGAUGAUUUUUAUUUUAGUCCACCACCAAGAUGGUAAAUUUAUUAAUACUAGAACAUAAAGUAUAAUACCACCCACAAUACCCUUUUUGAUUAUUGAAUUAUCUGGUGGAGUAUUGGAACCUCCAUUCUUUGCAAAUGUGCAAUGACAUGAAGAAUAAUUCGUAUUACUACACUUACCUUUCACUUGACAAUUCAAAAAUGAUAGAAGAAAUGACUGUUGGAAGGAGAUCAUUGAACCGCGUGUUGGGUUGAGUGAUUGUGUAAGUGUAUGACUAUAUUUAAUAUGAAAAAAAUGAGAAAAAGAGUAAAGGUGUAGAGACAAAGUAAUAGAGAGGGAGAGGGAAAGUGUAAAUAAUUGGUGAAGGAUAGUUCAAUAUUGAGUUUAACUCCUAUUUAUAGUGCAAGUUCUAGGACCAUGUGUAGAAAGUUGAAAGGAAAUGGCUAGAUGUUAGACAUGGUAAAAGCAUAAUUGGUACAUUAUCUUGAAAGUUGUCAAAUCAAUACAUUUAAUCAUGUGAUCAAAUCAAUUGACUUGACUUGAAUUUUAGUGUAAAUAAUGUAUGUGGUUAAAUCAAUUACCUUUAUUUAUUAGUCAAAGCAAUUACUUUGUUUAAAAUAUGGUAAAUAAUGCAUGUGGUCAAAUAAAUCAUAUCUAAUCAUGGCUAAUUGACAUAUUUACAUAUAAUUUUAUUUAACUUCCAAUUUAACUCUUCACUUAGGUCCUCAAAGAUUGGCUAGUAAUUAAUAAGGUCAUUUAACUAAAAUUUAACUCAAUCAAUAACCAAUAAGGUCAUUAGACUUUAAUAAUGGCGCACUUAAGUCCUAAUUAUUAAUCUAAUGACUAGUAAUAAAAAUUUAGGAUAUUAUAGGUAGGAUGCUGAAUAAUUUUGAAAUAUGAUUUUAGGUAUUUAUUUCGAGGAAACGUGACUAUGAAUUGUACAAUACCUCUGAUUCCUGGACUUAAAUUAAUGAAACUUCAAAUGUAAGGAUUAGCGGUUGGUAAUAGAGAUGAGUUUCUAGUUCAAUUGAAGCAUAUGGAAGAAAAAUGUUUUAUCUUUUGAAUCUAAUCGUUCAUUUCAUUUUGGAUUUCUAGUGAUCAUUUUACUUCUAUACUGUUUUUCCAACCAGUGGAGUUUAUUUAUCAUUCCAAAGUUAAUGCCACUACACAAUCCAACCUCACUCACAUAAAUAACAGAAUAAAAAGAAAUGCAAAAAUGUUAUAUCUUCUCUAUUUUAUUUAAUCCUUUGAAAAAUAAAUCUUAUUCUAACAUUAACUAUAAUCCAAUCUACAGUGGACUGACUACCUUUAAUUCAUCCUUUAUUGAUCAUCAGUGUACAUUUCUCUUACUUCCUUUACCCUUUCUUCCCAAAUUCUUGUAGAACUCGGGAGCAUGUCAUGUUUAGACCUGUACUGUGGAUAAGGCUUGAGGCACCAUUAAACCGAAUAUGUUAUUUGUUAAUGGGAUCUGCAGCACGUGAGGGUGGGUGAUUACCUAGUAUGUUGUUUCCCAUGCAUUUUAAGGUUUAUAUAAUUAGUUUGUUCUUUGCACCUUGUAUUCGUUGUUACCUUUUGAGCUUGAGUACGGACAUUAUUUAUUCAUGCAUUCUAUUGAUGGUGUAUUUUAGUGAAACCACUAUUCAGUAAUUCAUUGUCAAUUGGACGUGUUAUCGCAGGUAUGCCUGAUCUUUCACUUUCUUUUAUCCUUUUUGUCGUUCUAUUGUGUUGUGCUCCCAACACUUCUAAAUCUACAUUAAAGUAAAGAGAUUCUCCAUACAACUUGUGGUAUAUUGUUUUUUUACUGGGAUUUGAGCUGGUGAGAUGUAAUGCUAAAAAUUGCUUGCAUACUACUCUAAUGAU